GCGCCCGGCCGCCCCCGGCCGCGCGCCGGCCGACCGGCCAUGGCAGGAGCCGGAGGCGGCGGCUGCCCUGCGGGCGGCAACGACUUGCAGUGGUGUUUCUCGCAGGUCAAGGGGGCCGUGGACGAGGACGUGGCGGAAGCUGAUGUCAUCUCAACUGUGGAAUUUAGUCACUCUGGAGAUCUUCUUGCAACAGGAGACAAGGGCGGCAGAGUGGUUAUUUUUCAGCGUGAACAAGAGAAUAAAAGCCGCCCUCAUUCCAGGGGGGAAUAUAACGUUUACAGUACCUUUCAAAGUCACGAACCAGAGUUUGACUAUUUGAAGAGUCUAGAAAUUGAAGAAAAAAUCAAUAAAAUUAGGUGGUUACCACGACAGAGUGCUGCUCGUUUUCUGCUCUCGACAAAUGAUAAAACUAUUAAAUUAUGGAAAAUAAGUGAACGGGAUAAACGAGCAGAAGGCUGUAACUUACAAGAUGAAGACGGACGACUUCGAGAUCCGUCUAGCGUCACGGCACUGCGGGUCCCAAUAUUGAAGCCCAUGGACCUUAUGGUAGAAGCAAGUCCACGACGAAUUUUUGCAAAUGCUCACACAUAUCAUAUAAAUUCCAUUUCAGUAAAUAGUGAUCAUGAAACAUAUCUUUCUGCAGAUGACCUGAGAAUUAAUCUAUGGCAUUUAGAAAUCACAGAUAGAAGUUUUAACAUCGUGGACAUCAAGCCGGCCAACAUGGAAGAGCUGACGGAGGUGAUCACGGCGGCCGAGUUCCACCCGCACCAGUGUAACGUGCUCGUCUACAGCAGCAGCAAGGGGACCAUCAGGCUGUGCGACAUGCGCUCCUCCGCCCUGUGCGACCGACACUCCAAGUUUUUUGAAGAGCCGGAAGACCCCAGCAGUAGGUCCUUCUUCUCAGAAAUAAUCUCUUCUGUGUCCGACGUGAAAUUCAGCCACAGCGGUCGGUACAUGAUGACCCGAGACUACCUGUCGGUGAAGGUGUGGGACCUCAACAUGGAGAGCCGGCCUGUCGAGACCCACCAGGUCCACGAGUACCUUCGAAGCAAGCUGUGUUCCCUGUACGAAAAUGACUGCAUCUUUGACAAGUUUGAGUGCUGCUGGAACGGCUGCGACAGUGCAAUCAUGACUGGGUCCUACAACAACUUCUUCAGAAUGUUCGAUAGGACUACAUGGAGGGAUGUUACGCUGGAAGCUUCCAGGGAGAACAGCAAGCCUCGCGCCAGCUUGAAGCCUCGCAGAGUGUGUGCAGGUGGGAAGAGAAAGAAGGACGAGGUGAGCGUGGACAGCCUGGACUUCAGCAAGAAGAUUCUGCACACGGCCUGGCACCCAGCGGAGAACAUCAUUGCGGUGGCUGCCACCAAUAACCUGUACAUAUUCCAGGACAAGGCCAACUAAGGAGGCAGCGGGACCCGCGUCUCGUGCAGAAUCGCGCCUGGUCGUUUGGUGCCAGAGGACAGGCGACAUCCUCUCCGUGAAGAGCAGGGACGCCCUCCUGCCUCCGCACAGACUGCAUGGGCUGGCCGCGCGGGUGCCCGCAGGCUUCUGCUUCAGCAAGAGUGGUGGAACGUGUGCAGUACUUCAAACUCUGAACGUAUGUAUCCACAAACUUCCAUAACUUUUUUGUUUCUGUAGAAAUGGUACAUCUGACACACCAGGUAAGGUCUGGAAAAAGCCUUAACUGCAGCUGCCUCUGAGAAAGAAAAUCCCAAGGAGUAGUAACAGGAUCGCUGCUGAAAAAGUAACACGUGGUUUAAAGUAUGCCUCAAAUUCACUGCAGUUGAAAACUUACGUGCUUUUUUAACCUUUUUAAAAGUACUUUGGGGGAGGGGUAACAUACUUUUUAAAAACUGCUGGAAUUAUAUGCAUGCCGAAUUUCAUACUGCAUUUCAAGCAGCAAAAAUUAAACAAUUUUAAUUAUUAUGCAAUGCCACCAGUACCUUGGUGGUUUACUUUAAAAGUAGGUUGAUAUCAGAAAUCAAGAUUUCCUAAGACAAAAAAAUACAGAGGUAACAACACUAAGUGAUUGGAGCUUGCGGCCGUGAAAUUUCACACAGGAGCCCGAGACCCAGUCCUCCGGGGGACGGGACAGCUGGGGCUCACGUGCUGCUCUUGAAAUUAAGGUGUAUUUUGGUCACUGGUGAUAUGGAUAUGCAAGAACAAAUGUCUUGUCAACUCAUUCCCCUGAAUUCAUGUUAACAGGGUGCCACAUUAGCUCACGUUACGUUGGAAAUAGAGAAUCAACAAGUACAUUUAUUUUCAUUUAAAGGUAAUUGUUCUACUGCGUAUUGGUUGACGCAGUUCACAAACCUGAGAUGUGGAACAGAGUUGUCUAAGUAUCAGUCAACCCUGGCCCUUAAGGUAAAGCAGUUCUAGUAAGAUGGGGUUGUAUUUACUUGUUCAGCUUUUUGACCAAAAAGUUUAAUAAAUUUCAGAUGUUUAACCAGAUUUGUACUAUGUAACUGGACGACUUUUUUCCAUCUUUCCUUUAAGACGUAUUUCCUACCAAACAGGAAACCAGCCUUCUGCCUCUCAGGCGGCCCCGGGCAGGAGGCGCGUGCGUGGUGGCUGCUGCCGGCCGGGCGGGGCUCCCUGUGUCCCUGGGCUCUUCUCCCCCGAGUCGGGCAGACGCCCCUCAGAGAUGCUGUUGAGAAACGUGUAAUUUAAGAGGUGUCUAGCAGUUUCUUCCGUGUCUUUUUCCAUUAGACACUUCUGAUUCCAUUUAAGCCUUUUUCCCCUCCUGAUGAGGUAAAAAUCCUAUGGGUUUCAGACUUGACGUUUAUUUCUUCUUCAUAUUCUUUGUUUAAAAAGUAUCUGUUGUAUUUCUUGUUCUUCCAAAGCUUACCCCUUUUCUCCUGUUUAAAGCUAGAGAAAGCUAGAGAAAUUUUAUCUGUUCCUGAAAGGUAAUUCUGUGAGUUUUCAUCGUUCCUUAGAAUUCUGUGCUCCUGUUUUUCCUGAAGCUUUAAUGCUGUCUAGGUUGAUGGCCUGGGUUGGAUGAAUACGCUUUAUUCGUGUGUGGAUUUAGACGUGCACUUUUUAAAGAACAGUGGCGCUUCUAGAAGCCAGUACAGGACAGGACUCAGAGUCUGAUUUUAAACCGUCCGCCAGUCGUGGGCGUUCGCAGGAUGAGCAGCAAACUCCCUCCCCCGUGGAGCUGAGUAGCCGUGGCCUCACAGCCGGGAGCCGGCCCAGACUGUCCCCUGGUCAGCGUGGUGGGGUCCAGGCCCCGCGGGCCGAGCCCAGGGCUCUGGUGCUGCGUGGCCGUCUGAGGAGGAACUGUCUGCACGCUUUUGUCAAAGGGGGUCCAAGGUUGGCACUGAGGCUUUUUCUUCUGAGCGCGUCCGGCGCCCGCGGGCAGAGGCGGGUGCGCAGGCCGGGCCGGGCCGCGCCCCUCGUGGGGAGGACGGCGCGCCGCGCUCCGAGUCCCGGUCUGAGACCAGGUGCUGCCCCGGGGUCAUGAUGGGGCGGCGGGGGACAGUCCUCCCAUCAGGAACUGCCCACUGGGUGCUGUG